rnacentral:lncRNA from 1 species
UAAUUUCUGUCUCUUUGAAAAGAAGUGUAAAUCAUAUUCAGAUAACAUAAUUCAGUACAUUCUCACAAUCUACAUCGAUCAAUGCAUAUCAAUUUAUUAACUUUCCCAUCUUGGCAUUUCAUGAAUUAUUGGUGGCAACAACUGCAAAAACAAAUACAGCAGUCAAGGCGUUUGCAAUUAACUGAGCCAAUUCAGCUCGGUUGGUUUCCAAUUGAAUAUUUGCACUGGAAAUAAAACAACCCAGAACUGGUAUGUUCGCUCUCUUCCUGACAGCUCCAAAACAACUUUUCGAAAUGUUUCUAAAAAAUAUAUUGUCUGGGUUGUUUGUUUAUUCAUUUUUUACGUCACUUUUAAUUGAAGCUUAAUUGAUUUUUAUUUCAUUUAUAUUUACAUUCUUGAAGAAUCUUAUUUCAAUUACCAAUUUCUUCGUUAAAGAUAUUAUUGUUCUUUGAUAUGACAAAUAAUUAUUGGCAAGAAAACACAUUUGGGUUAUUUAUUUGUUUAACUAUUUCCGGCUUAUAGUUGCUUCGUUUGAAGAGAUUUUAUUUUUGAUGUGCUGAAAAUAAAAUGAUCAGAACUGGUAUGUUCGUUCUCUUCCUGAUAGCCCCAAAACAACUUUUCAAAAUGUUUCUAUAAAAUAUAUUGUCCG